rnacentral:tRNA from 1 species
GGGGCCAUAGUUCAAUGGGAGAAUAGUAGACUGGCAGUCUAUUGAUACGGGUUCGACUCCCGUUGGCUCCACCA